CAGGCCUAACACAUGCAAGUCGAACGAGGUAGCAAUACCUAGUGGCAGACGGGUGAGUAACACGUGGUCAACCUGCCUUUGUGAGGGGGAUAACUAGCCGAAAGGUUAGCUAAUACCGCAUACGAUCGCUCUGGGGCAUCCCUAGGCGAUGAAAGGAGCAAUCCGCACAAAGAGGGGACUGCGUCCCAUUAGUUAGUUGGUGGGGUAAUGGCCUACCAAGACUCCGAUGGGUAGCUGGCUUGAGAGAGCGACCAGCCACACUGGAACUGAGACACGGUCCAGACUCCUACGGGAGGCAGCAGUGAGGAAUUUUCCGCAAUGGGCGAAAGCCUGACGGAGCGACGCCGCGUGUGGGAUGAAGGCCUUCGGGUCGUAAACCACUGUCGAAGGGGACGAUAUUGACGGUACCCUUGGAGGAAGCCCCGGCUAACUACGUGCCAGCAGCCGCGGUAAUACA
rnacentral:rRNA from 1 species